AAACUUUCUUCAUCACCCUUGGCUGCUGUACCUCUGAACCAGUGUGCUGAUUUCUCUGGCUGAUUGCAUAUCUGAGUAGGAAAAAUAUAUAGAGAAGCAGAACUCGUCACCUGGAGUGAAGGCUGACAGGAAUGAACAUAGGCAGGAAACAGCGUGACACACACAUUGUCAUGCAUGACUGACCAGCAGCCAUCAACAGCAAUUAAACAUCGAGAGCACUGGAUCCUUUUGGACAGGUUCAAGUUUCCUGGCACUGCUGUGAUUAGAUGUUUUGCACUGUUUCCCUGUAGUCAGUAUGUGACA